CACCAUUAUAUUUUUUCAUCACUGUCUACUAGAUUAGCCAUGCAUGUCUCAGUGCGAGCCGUAUUAAAGUGAGACCGCGGAAGGGUCACUAUAUCACUUUUGGUUCCUUAUAUCUUACUCUUUUACUUGGAUUACUGUGGUAAUUCUAAAGCUAAUACAUGCAAUCAGAACUCUGACCAGUGAUGGGAUGAGUGCUUUUAUUAAAUCGAAACCACUCGACCGACGGCCUCCCGUCCGAAUUCGUUAAUUUUGAUGAAUCUGGAUAACUUUUGCCGAUCGCAUGGUCCAUUACCGGCGACGCAUCUUUCAAAUGUCUGCCUUAUCAACUUUCCAUGGAAGUUUCUGCGACUACCAUGGUUGUCACGGGUAACGGGGAAUCAGGGUUCGAUUCCGGAGAGGGAGCCUGAGAAACGGCUACCACAUCCAAGGAAGGCAGCAGGCGCGCAAAUUACCCACUCCCGGCACGGGGAGGUAGUGACGAAAAAUAACGAUACGGGACUCUUACGAGGCCUCGUAAUCGGAAUGAGUACACUUUAAAUAUUUUAACGAGGAACAAUUGGAGGGCAAGUCUGGUGCCAGCAGCCGCGGUAAUUCCAGCUCCAAUAGCGUAUACUAAAAUUGUUGCGGUUAAAAAGCUCGUAGUUGCAUUUGUGCGCCGCGCUGUCGGUGCACCGCCAUCCGCGGUGAACUGACACGUCUGCGGAGCAUAUCGUCGUGAGUCCGGU
rnacentral:rRNA from 1 species